rnacentral:lncRNA from 10 species
GUCCCCGGCGUCCGGGCGCCCUGCAUGGAUCCCCCACCCCAGCUCCUGCUCCCCGGCGGCGGCCGGUGGGCAGAAAGACCGAAACCCACUCACGGCCGCCUGCCGAAUCGCGGCUCUGCUGUUUGUGGGGCGUGCUAGAAACGUGGUCCUAAAAAGAAUGGCGUCCAUUUACAUAAUGCUUUGUUUGCGUUUCGCAAGUUUCUUUCGGUUAAAGCCACAGAAACCCCACCUCCUGCCCUUGUGUCGUUUCCACCGCGGCACCCUUUUCCGACAUUAGAAACAAUAGUGUACGCCUGUGGAGGCCUCGUUUGUUCAGGGGCUGCCGGCCAGGGCUUCAGGACGUUUCUGCGGCUUUCCCCGCGCGGCCUGGGCUCCCGCGGCUGCUUUUCGGGCCCAUGGGCGCAGCCACUGCGCCAGGCUCAAGGGGGGCGGCCCCGUCAGGGCCCGCCAUCUUGGAAGGCCUUUUUUGCCGGUUCUUCCCGCUGAGGAAGUGUCGCUCAAGACGCUGGCCUAUGAGUUGUGAUUUCUGCCUUUUCCCCUUCCUCCUUGGGCUAAGCCAGACCAGAAAGGGCCCCGUGCGCAACGUGCUUCACAAUCUCUCAGGGAAAGCGGCUAACGUGGCGCUACUCCGCCUCCCCUGUUCCUUACCCUUGGGGCGGCCGCCAUGUUUCCUGAACACAAAAUGGCGACACGUGGUUAGCAUUCGUCGCCAACGAGAAAUUGGGGUCGGCCCGAAAGCUCUAGAAUGCACCCCUCUUCCUCCCCGGGGCCUUCCACCUCCGCGAGUUUUAUGACUUAAAAAAGCCCACAGGCUGGUCUGAAGACUUCCUAGCAUGGGCUGUUGUGCUGGAGAGAACGAGAGCUACGAAGAGACUACAGUGCCUCUGACUUUUUCAUAGGACAGUUGGCCGAGGAAGACAAACAUAAAGAUGAAGUGCUUAAUUCAAGGUCACACAAUGUCGGGGAUGGACCUCCAGAUUUCCUUACUGGUGAGACGUGGUCUUGUAACACAGUGGUUAAGAAUGUGACUUUGGAGCCAGCCUGCUAGGGGCUGAAUUCUGACUCAGCCAUUUACUAACUGUGUGACCUUAGGUAAGUCAUUUACCUUCUUUGUCCCUCAGUUUCAUCUCGGUUAAGUAGGGAUAAUGAUAGCACCUAUUUUAUAGGGUUAUUGUGAGGAAUAAAUCCAAGUAAAAUGCUUAGAAUAGUAACUGAAACAUAGCACUCAUUAGGAAUGCUUUAAUUUUCAUUUAUUUGAGUAUUAAAGGUUGAAUUUUCAGAGGUAUUUUGGACCUUUGUAUUUUUUCUUUAAAUCACUUAUUCAUGACUUUUGAACUUUUUUUUUUCUUUUAGAGACAGGGUCUUGGUUUGUUGUCUAGGCUGGAAUGCAGUGGUGCAAUCAUAGCUCACUGUAGCCUUGAACUCUUGGGCUCAAGAGAUCCUCCUGCCUCAGCCUCGUGAGUAGCUGGGCCUACAGGCGCCUGCUACCACACCUGGCUAAUUUUUUAUUUUUUGUAGAGAUGGGUUCUUGCAGCCCAGACUGGUCUUGAGCUUUGGCCUGAAGUGCUCCUCCUGCCUUGGCCUCUCAAAGCAUUGGGGUUACAGGUGUGAAGCACUGCACCUUGCCUACACAUUUUUUCCAAUAAUUUUUUUUAUUAAUUUGUAAGAGUUAACAUGUCGACUAUCAUAUAUAACAUAGAAUUGUUCCCAUUUUGUCAUUUCCUUUCAACUUUGUCUAUGUAGCUUUUUUUCUGUGUGCAAAUUUUACAUUUUUAGGUAGUCAGAAAAUCUCUUCCCUUGUAAUUUUUUCUGCUACUAGACCAAUGUUUAGAAAAAAGCGUGCUUCCCCACCUCAAAAUUAUAAAAAUAGUUACUUGUUCUUUUUGAGUACUGUGUGUGUUUAAAUCUUUAAUCUUUAAAUUUAAAUCUUUGAUCCAUCUGGUAUUUAUUUUGAUAUGAAGAGAGUGGUUGGGAUCUGGCUGUAUUUCUUUUUUCUUUUUUUUUCUUUUUUCUUUUUUUGACGAAGUCUCACUGUUGCUCAGGCUGGAGUGCAAUGGCAUGAUCUCGGC